rnacentral:rRNA from 1 species
AUACGGAGGAUGCAAGCGUUAUCCGGAUUUAUUGGGUUUAAAGGGUGCGUAGGCGGUUUGCUAAGCGGGAGGUGAAAUGCCGGCGCUCAACGUCGGAAGUGCCUCCCGAACUGGUGGACUGGAAUGACUCUGCCGUGGGAGGAAUGUGUAGUGUAGCGGUGAAAUGCUUAGAGAUUACACAGAACACCGAUUGCGAAGGCAUCUCACGAAGGGUUGAUUGACGCUGAGGCACGAAAGCGUGGGGAUCAAACAGGAUUAGAUACCCUGGUAGUCCACGCAGUAAACGAUGAAUACUAGGUGUCGGGUUUCUAUAGAGAUUCGGUGCCGCAGCAAACGCAAUAAGUAUUCCACCUGGGGAGUACGUUCGCAAGAAUGGAACUUAAAGGAAUUGACGGGG